AUUGAACGCUGGCGGCAGGCCUAACACAUGCAAGUCGAGCGAGCGGCGGACGGGUGAGUAAUGUAUGGGGAUCUGCCCGCUAGAGGGGGAUAACUACUGGAAACGGUGGCUAAUACCGCAUACUAUCGGAUGUACCCAUAUGGGAUUAGCUAGUGGGUGGGGUAACGGCUCACCUGGGCGACGAUCCCUAGCUGGUCUGAGAGGAUGAUCAGCCACACUGGGACUGAGACACGGUCCAGACUCCUACGGGAGGCAGCAGUGGGGAAUAUUGCAAAAUGGGCGCAAGCCUGAUGCAGCCAUGCCGCGUGUAUGAAGAAGGCCUUAGGGUUGUAAAGUACUUUCAGCGGGGAGGCGUUACCCGAAGAAGAAGCACCGGCUAACUCCGUGCCAGCAGCCGCGGUAAUAC
rnacentral:rRNA from 1 species